ACGGGUGAGUAACACGUAUCCAACCUGCCGUCUACUCUUGGACAGCCUUCUGAAAGGAAGAUUAAUACAAGAUGGCAUCAUGAGUCCGCAUGUUCACAUGAUUAAAGGUAUUCCGGUAGACGAUGGGGAUGCGUUCCAUUAGAUAGUAGGCGGGGUAACGGCCCACCUAGUCUUCGAUGGAUAGGGGUUCUGAGAGGAAGGUCCCCCACAUUGGAACUGAGACACGGUCUAA
rnacentral:rRNA from 1 species